rnacentral:tRNA from 1 species
GGAGGGGUGGCAGAGCGGUUGAAUGCGGCGGUCUUGAAAACCGUUGAGUCGGUAACCCCGGCUCCAAGGGUUCGAAUCCCUUCCCCUCCG